UACGUAGGGGGCAAGCGUUGUCCGGAAUCAUUGGGCGUAAAGAGCGUGUAGGCGGCCCGAUAAGUCCGCCGUGAAAGUCCAGGGCUCAACCCUGGAAUGCCGGUGGAAACUGUCGGACUAGAGUCCGGAAGAGGCGAGUGGAAUUCCCGGUGUAGCGGUGGAAUGCGCAGAUAUCGGGAGGAACACCAAUGGCGAAGGCAGCUCGCUGGGACGGUACUGACGCUGAGGCGCGAAAGCGUGGGGAGCAAACAGG
rnacentral:rRNA from 1 species